GGGGCUAUAGCUCAGCUGGAAGAGCGUCGCGCUGGCAGCGCGAAGGCCGUCGGUUCGAGUCCGACUAGCUCCA
rnacentral:tRNA from 1 species